CGCGUGUACUGGUCCGGCCGGGCCUUUCCCUCUGUGGAACCCCAUGCCCUUCACUGGGUGUGGCGGGGAAACAGGACUUUUACUGUGAAAAAAUUAGAGUGCUCCAGGCAGGCCUAUGCUCGAAUACAUUAGCAUGGAAUAAUAGAAUAGGACGUGUGGUUCUAUUUUGUUGGUUUCUAGGACCGCCGUAAUGAUUAAUAGGGACAGUCGGGGGCAUCAGUAUUCAAUUGUCAGAGGUGAAAUUCUUGGAUUUAUUGAAGACUAACUACUGCGAAAGCAUUUGCCAAGGAUGUUUUCAUUAAUCAGGAACGAAAGUUAGGGGAUCGAAGACGAUCAGAUACCGUCGUAGUCUUAACCAUAAACUAUGCCGACUAGGGAUCGGACGAUGUUAUAUUUUGACUCGUUCGGCACCUUACGAGAAAUCAAAGUGCUUGGGCUCCAGGGGGAGUAUGGUCGCAAGGCUGAAACUUAAAGAAAUUGACGGAAGGGCACCACCAGGGGUGGAGCCUGCGGCUUAAUUUGACUCAACACGGGGAAACUCACCAGGUCCAGACACAAUGAGGAUUGACAGAUUGAGAGCUCUUUCUAGAUUGUAUGGGUGGUGGUGCAUGGCCGUUCUUAGUUGGUGGAGUGAUUUGUCUGCUUAAUUGCGAUAACGAACGAGACCUUAACCUGCUAAAUAGCCCGUAUUGCUUUGGCAGUACGCUGGCUUCUUAGAGGGACUAUCGG
rnacentral:rRNA from 1 species